rnacentral:lncRNA from 1 species
UAACACAAUAGCUCUGUCCCCCUCGUCAUUCAAGAGCCUAUGAAAGUACGACUGCCAUCUCUUCUUUAUGUGGCCGUCCUCCACCAACACUCUACCGUCCUCCCCCUUAAUGCACCUCACCUGAUCGAGGUCACGACCCUUCCUCUCCCUAGCCUUAGCGAGUUGGAACAACUUUUUCUCCCCUCCUUUCCCCUGUAACCCUGCAUACAAGCUC